UGGGGAAUUUUGGACAAUGGGGGAAACCCUGAUCCAGCCAUCCCGCGUGUGCGAUGAAGGCCUGCGGGUUGUAAAGCACUUUUGGCAGGAAAGAAACGUCAUGGGUUAAUACCCCGUGAAACUGACGGUACCUGCAGAAUAAGCACCGGCUAACUACGUGCCAGCAGCCGCGGUAAUACGUAGGGUGCAAGCGUUAAUCGGAAUUACUGGGCGUAAAGCGUGCGCAGGCGGUUCGGAAAGAAAGAUGUGAAAUCCCAGAGCUCAACUUUGGAACUGCAUUUUUAACUACCGGGCUAGAGUGUGUCAGAGGGAGGUGGAAUUCCGCGUGUAGCAGUGAAAUGCGUAGGUAUACGGAGGAACACCGAUAGCGAAGGCAGCCUCCUGGGAUAACACUGACGCUCAUGCACGAAAGCGUGGGGAGCAAACAGG
rnacentral:rRNA from 1 species